GAUGAACGCUAGCGGCAGGCUUAAUACAUGCAAGUCGUGGGGCAGCAUGAGUAGCAAUACUUGAUGGCGACCGGCAAACGGGUGCGGAACACGUACACAACAUUCCGAUAAGUGGGGAAUAGCCCAGAGCAAUUUGGAUUAAUACCCCGUAACAUAUAGAUUAGGCAUCUUCUUUAUAUUAUAGCUUCGGCGCUUAUUGAUGGGUGUGCGUCUGAUUAGGUAGUUGGCGGGGUAACGGCCCACCAAGCCUACGAUCAGUAGCUGAUGUGAGAGCAUGAUCAGCCACACGGGCACUGAGACACGGGCCCGACGCCUACGGGAGGCAGCAGUAAGGAAUAUUGGACAAUGGGCGAAAGCCUGAUCCAGCCAUGCCGCGUGAAGGAUUAAGGUCCUCUGGAUUGUAAACUUCUUUUAUUUGGGACGAAAAAAGGGAAUUCUUUCCCACUUGACGGUACCAAGUGAAUAAGCACCGGCUAACUCCGUGCCAGCCGCCGCAGUAAGAC
rnacentral:rRNA from 1 species